CAAAGAAAAAUAAAAUUCGGCCUCUUCCGCGGUGAGUUCGCCACAUCGAAGAAUACCGCUGCCGCGCCCCAUCCACCUUCCGCCGCCUCCCAAGUCCCGACCACCUUCAUUGUCAUCUGCCCACAGGUCUCCUCCACGCCGCCGUAUGUGCCUCCUCCGCGGUGCCACCCCAGUCGGAGGUAGCAGAGGCAGAGACUUACCUCAUGCCGCCACCUCUAUGAAGGGAGGACAGGGGGAUCUAAAUCACCUCAUGGGUGAGCAGCAGCCAGGUCGAUUCUGCCUAAAUUUCUAGCCAGAGCCAGGUUUCUAGCCCCCGUACCAGUAGUUUAUUAGAUCAGUAAAUCCUCACGCUGCACAAGGCACUCAUGUUCAACGACCAGAUAAACCAUCCUUAUGUUCGCUGGAGAAGGAAAAGUAAUAUACUUGGGAAGGAGAUGAUUGAUUGGCUAGCAGUGAUGAUUGAGAAGAAGUGGUGGUCUAUCACCUUCAAGUCCAAUUUUUCUCGCUCGAUCUGCUACAUGGCUACGUCUGCGAGGGAGUCGAGAGAGGGGUUCAUCGGCCAUGUCAGCGAAGAGCUCUGGAGUGAGUUGAUUUUGCUAUGGGUCCGUGUCAUGUGAUCUUCUUUGCGCACGUCAGCCUCUAGGAUGGGCUGCCAUGAGAAAAUCCUCCCAGACCUUACAAUGGAGUAAUCCUUACAUUUUCCUCGCAAUCAUUUCAUUUUUAUUGUCUCAAACUCUCAAUACACUAGGCUGUCUACGCCUCUACGGGGCGUGCAAGAAUGAGUGCCGGAGGCGGCUGUUGCGGUUCUACAAAGCGCACAUGUAUCGGAGAGCAUGAAUGCGUACCUUUGAAUUGGAGAUGGCAAACACGGUCGUAUUAAAUUUCUUAGCAUGUGAUGUUGUCUUUGGUACAGGUCUGAUUAUAUUUAGUUUUUUGUAAAUGGCAAACUCAGAUUAUGCAAGUUGAUUAUAUGAGUUAGAUGAUGUUAGUGGUUAACUUAACACUGCAGAGUUAUCCCUGGUUAUCCUAUAAAGACUCCAUGCAACUGAUAUCUGGAGAUUUUUAUUUAGUAGUGCUCAUUCCAGAGAUUGGUAGAUUGUUCUUUUAUACACUGAGCAAUCAUGUUUCCCAUUACAAGUGUGAUCCACUGCAGAUUUAAGUCUCGAUGAGUGUAUAUAUUGUAUGUUUAAUCUGCGAUUAUUCCUUUUAAAAUCAUAAUUUACAGUCUGGUUUCUAUUGUCAACUGACUAGGUAGAACAUCCUAAGAAAUUUCACAUUUUCAUGGAAUUGCUAAUGACAAGGAUAAGCUUGGAUUACACCUGCAUGUUAUAGGUAAUUAUGUCAUGUGUUUUUGUUUUCAGUUCCCCUUCCAUGUGCACUACCUGAGAAAUUAAAAUCCGCCCAGCCUCCGCUAUUAGCGGAUUGGAGAGCUUUGUUGUUGCCUAAAUUUUGCCUGCAGUACGUACUAUUCGGUUUUAACUAACAUUUGAAAUCAUUAUUUGCUUCAUAUUCUACUAGCUUUCUGAAGACAAUAACGAAUGCUGAAGAAAAGUUGGCUCUUAGAUUACGUGGAAGAAUACCACCAGAGAAACAGCACUCGGUUUCGUUAACUUUCUCGAUUACUACUGCAUUUCUUAGACUAACGAUUUCACCAACUGAUUUCAUUUAUUUGGACACAUCUUCAUGUUUUUUUUUUAUCUUUGAUAGUGUGAGGGCAGAGACUCGUGACAGAUGGUGAUGGCACGUGCAUUGUAGUGAAGAGUAGAAGAGAUGAGGGGAGCGAGUAGACGUGAGGCGGCAGACAAGUAUGCAACGGAAGGAGAAUGAGGAGGCGAGGAGAAAACCGGUGCUACUGUUGACAUAUGAGGGGGGGUACUCCAUGCGUGUCUUCGAGUCUACUACUUCUUGUCUUUCAUGCAUGUCUUCUACUCAAGUGCCUCAUGUGCAUAAUUUGAGGCUUGAUUAUGUAUAUAUUGAUUCAGGUUUCGGACUUAUAGUAUCAUUCAGGUCUAAGGUUUUUAUGUAAUAGUUAUGUCUUAUUUCUCUACUUAAGUUAGUCAUCUCAACUUCAACUUUGAGAGUAUUGGAUAUGCAGUGAACACAAAGUAUCUCACCUGAUUUUAUCUGUGCCAUUGA